UACGGGGGGGGCAAGCGUUGUUCGGAAUUACUGGGCGUAAAGGGUUCGUAGGUGGCCAACUAAGUCAGACGUGAAAUCCCUCAGCUUAACUGGGGAACUGCGUCCGAGACUGGAUGGCUUGAGUGCAGGAGAGGAACGCGGAAUUCCAGGUGUAGCGGUGAAAUGCGUAGAUAUCUGGAGGAACACCGGUGGCGAAGGCGGCGUUCUGGACUGCAACUGACACUGAGGAACGAAAGCCAGGGGAGCAAACGGG
rnacentral:rRNA from 1 species